rnacentral:snoRNA from 10 species
ACUCUAACCACGAUGAAGAGAACUGAUGUUCCCUUCGGAGCGCGAAGCGGGCAGUGAGUGAUGAUGCAUUUCAUCCGCUCCUUGCCAUUGAUGACCGUUCCAUGCUCUCUAGUGGAGCCUGGAGGUAUAGGGAUCAUGAUCAGAGUGG